rnacentral:rRNA from 1 species
GGAGGAUGUAUAGCAAUAGCUACUUGUAUCAUUAAUGAUGCAAGCUCGACUAUGUUGAAUAAAAUUCUAGGUAGAAUUAUGAUAAUGACAUUGUCUGCCUAUGUGUCUUGACCAAAUUACGUGCCAGCAGUCGCGGUAAUACGUAGAAGACUAGUGUUAUUCAUGUUUAAUCGGUUUAAAGGGUACCUAGACGGUGAAUCAAGCUUUAGAAUAAAGAAGAAAAGGAACUAAUUCGCUAGAGUUACUUACGAGGGGGUAGUAAAGUACUGCUGGUGUAGAGAUGAAAUUCUGUCAUACCUCUUUUCGAAAGAAAAAUUAUGGCACAGGUAUAGGCGAAGGCAUCCCCUUAUGUGAUAACUGACGUUGAGGGACGAAGGCUUCGUGGAACAAACAGGAUUAGAUACCCUAGUAGUUGAAGCAGAAAAUGAUGAAUGUCAUAGAUUAGACGUCUAAGUUUAUUCUAUAAAUGAAAGUGUAAGCAUUCCACCUCAUGAGUAAUUUGGCAACAUUGGAAUUGAAAUCAUUAGACCGUUUCUGAAACCAGUAGUGAAGUAUGUUGUUUAAUUUGAUAAUACGCAAAAAACCUUACCACAAUUUGAAUAUUUAUAUUGUUUAUUGUUAUCUUAUUAAUUUUCUUAAAAAAACUAAUUAUAGCAAAAGCAUUUUAAAACAGGAAAAGAAAAUUAAUCAAGAGGCAAUAACAUAUAUCUACAAGCGUUGCACGGCUGUCUUCAGUUAAUGUCGCGAGACUUUGGUUAGUUCCAUUAAAUUAACGUAAACCCUUACUUUAUUUUUUAUAUAGAGUAGUUCCCCGCUAUAUUGGAUAUGAUAACAGGACUA